rnacentral:rRNA from 1 species
AACGCUGGCGGCGUGCCUAAUACAUGCAAGUCGAACGGCUUUUCUAUGGAAGCUUGCUUCCACUGAGAAGAUAGUGGCGAACGGGUGAGUAACACGUGGGUAACCUGCCCAUAAGAGGGGGGAUAACAUCCGGAAACGGGUGCUAAUACCGCAUAGUUUUCUUGAUCGCAUGAUUGAGAAAGGAAAGACGGCCUUUGUGCUGUCGCUUAUGGAUGGACCCGCGGCGUAUUAGUUAGUUGGUGAGGUAACGGCUCACCAAGACGAUGAUACGUAGCCGACCUGAGAGGGUGAUCGGCCACAUUGGGACUGAGACACGGCCCAAACUCCUACGGGAGGCAGCAGUAGGGAAUCUUCCGCAAUGGACGAAAGUCUGACGGAGCAACGCCGCGUGAGUGAAGAAAAGGGUUUUCGGAUCGUAAAACUCUAGUUGUCAGAGAAGAACAAGUUGGAGAGUAACUGCUCCAGCCUUGACGGUAUCUGACCAGAAAGCCACGGCUAACUACGUGCCAGCCGCCGC